CAACCAAUAGGCUUGUAGCCUGGGUGGGAUAAAAGUCCAGAAGGCUCACCACUUCCUGCUUCCUGCCUGCCAUGCCAUGGACUGUUUCUCCUCUGUGAUGCCCCUCUGCGGUGCCCCUCUGUGAUGCCACCCAGCCGACUAUGGAGUGAAACCUCUACCAGCUGCGAGCCGCAAUGGACCUUUCCUCCUUUAACUUGAACUGCCCACGGGGAUGCACCAAGACCUGGAAGUCUGGGGCUGGGGCGGUAAGGGCUUGUGAAAACUCAACUUGGAACAAAACCAAAUUACUUUCCAAGUGCAUCUUCCUUACUAAACAGCUCUACAAGGACGGAGACAUCUCUGCAGCUUUUGUCCCAGCUCGAGAACAGUGCCAGGUGUUUGCUGAAUGAAUGCAUGAACUGUGUCCGAUGGGUACCAAGUUCUGCAUCAGCAACUCUCCGUGUGUAACUGUUUCACCUUGUCAUCGACUCUGUGGCACGGGCAUUAUUAACCCUGGCUAGGAGUUACUCAUACAAGAACUUGGUGACUUCAUUUAAACUAGGAGUGGCACAGAUCUCCUCAUUCUCCCCGUCAGAACUACGACCCUAGAAACCGAGAGCAAGGAAGCAUCUGAAAAGGAGAAGUUAGUUCUGGGUAAGGGCUGGAAUUUAUGAUCAAAGUUGGCCCAGAAAGAGGAUGGA
rnacentral:lncRNA from 1 species